CUUUGCUUCUGUUUGGCAGUGAGGAAACAGUACCUAGUAGAGUAAAGGAAUAGUUUGGUAAAACUACAAGAAGCAAGGUAAACUAAGAGACUUUAAACACCAACAGAGAAGCAGAAUCUCCUCUUCUGCAGAAGUUGGCGCGGUCAGCAAAGGU
rnacentral:lncRNA from 1 species